GGGUUCUAGUCUCCUGUUCUCUCCAUACAUCCCUAGCACAAAUGGGAUUGUAACUGACUGAGGUUGCCCACACAGCAGAUUGCCCUGGGGUGCCGCUGCCAGGAGUGACUGUGCGCAUGCAUCUCCCUCCCUUCUCCUUCAGGUCUGUUCCAUCCUUCUCUCCUCCUUGCUCAUGCACUGAAGCCACCUACCUGCCUGUCCUGACAUAAAAUCAAACGGCUUUUGCCGUUGGUAUUCACUAGAAGGAGGCAGUCGUCCAAUCCUCUUAGCAAUAUGAGCAUAACACCACACUGCCACGUGUCUUUCUGCUCUUGUUUUCUAGUCUCUCUCUCCAAGAAGUGUUUGCAUUUCUUCUGAGGCUCAAAACUGAAAUCCUGUGGCUGUGCACUUCCUCCCACACUCCAGAUCAAAGGCAGGGCACACGCUCACGGUGCUGCUGCCCGUUGCUGAAAGCUGAUACCUACCGGCUCUUCAGCCGAGAAAAAGCAUGCACAGGACAAACAUGGCUGGAGAUUUCUCCUCCCACCUGGGGCCCCGCUCACACAUCUCUCAGUCUCAACAGCAGCUGAGCAGGGGAGGCAGACAUGCUGCUGCUGGCAGCUCUGAUGGUUGCAGCUGCCUGGUCUUAUGAAUUUGCAUGGAAAGUUCCCAUUCAGAGCCCUCUAUCCAUCACCAAGUCACAAGGAAGUGCACGUCUGCAGUGUCGUUUUGGAGACUUGUUUGGACAUUUCGAUAACACCGUCAUACACUGGUAUCAACAAAAGGAGAAUAGACCUCCAGAGAGGCUACUCUUCUUUGCAGAAGGGAAAACUAGAGUUGAAAGUGGCUUUCAAGGGAACAAGUACAUGGUUGAUAAAGUUUCUAGUCAGCAACUGUUCAUUCUUACAAUAAACAAUGUAAGUCCAGAUGAUGCUGCUACAUACUACUGUGCCUACUGGGACCCACACCUUGAUAGAUGCUCAGAGACCAUCAAGCCACAAAACUCCUUCAACCACUCAACUUCUACUUCAGUCUGAACCACAGGGUUGUUACUGCCUCAUUCCCCCAGCCUUCUCACUCCAUCUGCUAUCAGCUGCUACCCAGAGCAAAUACUGCACAGGUGCAGAGAAUCCCAAACAAUAAAGGGCUGGAAGGGACCUCUGGAGAUCAUCCACUCCAUCCUCCCUGCUGAAGCAGACUCCCUAGAGCAGGUUACAAGGGAAAGAGUCCUAGAAGGUUUUGAAUGUCACCAGAGGACACUCCCCACCCUCUCUGGGCAGCCUGUUCCUGUGCUCUGUCACCCUGGGUCCUCUUCCUUGAAUGUGGAGUCACAAGCUGAGCCUGGAGCUCUCACUGCCUCAAGGGCUAUGGACUUGUUGAGACGCUUCCCCCUUCUGCUAGUCCAUGAGAUGUUCUCUGCAGGGAAAAACCUUCAAAAUAUAAUUUAUCUCAAAAACGGUAAUUUCCUGCAGGAGUUUGUUUGACAAUAAAUGUUCCCAGAUAACUCUACACCCUACCCCAUAGGAAUAACCACAUUAACAGCCCUUUUUCUGAGGGACCAUCAGGGGAAUUGCCGAGUUUUCCCAGAAGAGUGACCUCAUUUAUCUUUCCUCUACAAAUUAUCCUACAUUCAUGCCAUUUUAUAAACACUGCAAAACAAAGUCGCCUUUAAAUUAUUAUUUUGGUGCCAUGUGAACAUGUCUUUCACCUAAGUUAUGUCAGUGCUCAUCACUGUUGGCGCUCAGUCGAGUUAGAGAGCUCUCACAGUUUCUUGUAGUGUCAGAAUCGUUCUCCCAAAAGUUCUGCUUUGUUGUGUUCAACGUCCAUCUUAUAUUCCAUCCAUUUACGAGCCAGGAUUCCUGUCCCUCUCAUCAGUUCAUUGGCCGAGCUUCUCCCAAACAACGGUGAUCAAGGAUGAAAAGUUUCUUAAGUGUGAUAAGGUUAACAGUG